rnacentral:rRNA from 1 species
AGAGUUUGAUCCUGGCUCAAGAAGAACGCUGGCGGCGUGCUUAACACAUGCAAGUCGAACGGACCAUUUGCAACGUUUGUUGUGGGUGGUUAGUGGCGGACGGGUGAGUAACACGUGAGUAACCUGCCCCUUGGUUUUUUGGGAUAACUGCUUGAAAGGGUGGCUAAUACCGAUGGUGCGGUUGGUGUCGCAUGACAUUGAUCGGGAAGAACAGUCUUUAUUGGUUGUUUGGUUGGGGAUGGGCUCGCAGCCUAUUAGUUUGUUGGGGGGGUGAUGGCUUACCAAGGCUUUGACGGGUAGCCGGCCUGAGAGGGUGGUCGGUCACAUUGGGACUGAGAUACGGCCCAGACUCCUACGGGAGGCAGCAGUGGGGAAUAUUGCACAAUGAACGGAAGUUUGAUGCAGCGACGCCGUGUGAGGGAUGAAGGCCUUUGGGUUGUAAACCUUUUUCGCUUUUGACCAAGGCACAGGUUUGGCCUGUGUUGAGGGUAGGGGGUAAAUGAAGCUCCGGCUAACUACGUGCCAGCAGCCGCGGUAAUACGUAGGGAGCGAGCGUUGUCCGGAUUUAUUGGGCGUAAAGGGCUUGUAGGUGGUGUGUCGCGUCUGUCGUGAAAUUCCAUGGCUUAACUGUGGGAGUGCGGUGGGUACGGGCAUGCUUGAGUGCGGUAGGGGAGACUGGAAUUCUUGGUGUAGCGGUGGAAUGCGCAGAUAUCAGGAGGAACACCGGUGGCGAAGGCGGGUCUCUGGGCCGUUACUGACGCUGAGGAGCGAAAGCGUGGGGAGCGAACAGGAUUAGAUACCCUGGUAGUCCACGCUGUAAACGUUGGACACUAGAUAAAGGGUUCCACUUGUUUGUGGGGGUUGCUGUGUCGUAGUUAACGCAUAAAGUGUCCGCCUGGGGAGUACGGCCGCAAGGCUAAAACUCAAAGGAAUGACGGGGCCCGCACAAGCGGCGGAGCAUGCGGAUUAAUUCGAGGCAACGCGAAGAACCUUACCAAGGCUUGACAUACACCUGGAGCUAUCAGAAAUGGUGGUGACUUUGAUACAGGUUGUACAGGUGGUGCAUGGUUGUCGUCAGCUCGUGUCGUGAGAUGUUGGGUUAAGUCCCGUAACGAGCGCAACCCUUGUCUUAUGUUGCCAGCA